rnacentral:rRNA from 1 species
AUGGACCGAUCGCCGGCACCUCUCAGCCCACCAGGUUUCGCUGUGCCGCUCGCCGUCAAGAAGCGGCAGCAGGCGGCGCCAGGCUACAGCAGCAGCAGCAGCCCGUGGGGAGUCCCUCCGGCGCCGCCCCUCACCAACAACAACAACCCCAACCCGCCCAAUGGCCUCAGAGCAGGCGACACCAGCAUCUUCUCCACCUCGCUGCCCGUACUGCCGCACGAAAAAUUGAACUUCCCUGACUCUGCACAUGGCACCCCUUCGAUGGACGAUGCGUCAGCGAAGCUUAAAGAUUUUGAUGAUGAUCCUCAGGGGAACGACUACCCGUUUGACUUUGAUCUCCGGCAGAUCGACGACCUGCUGCCCGAUGAAGAUGAGCUUUUCGCUGGGAUCACGAAUGAGAUGGAGCCAUCUUCGCAGGCGAAUCCUGUAGAGGAACUGGAGGAGUUUGAUGUGUUUGGCAGCGGAGGGGGAAUGGAGCUGGACUCAGACCCUCUGGACAGCAUCACAGCUGGUUUGGGGAAUGCAAGUAUAAGUGAUGGGAUCAGGGCCAAUGGAGUAAACAACAAUUUUGGCCUGUCAAACAGUCCUGGAGCUGUGGCUGGGGAGCAUCCGUUGGGGGAGCAUCCUUCCAGGACAUUGUUUGUGAGGAACAUUAACAGUAACGUUGAGGACUCUGAACUGCGCUCUCUCUUUGAGCAAUUUGGGGAUAUCCGGACCCUUUACACUGCAACGAAGCACAGGGGCUUUGUGAUGAUAUCUUAUUUUGAUAUCCGGGCUGCACGUGGUGCGAUGCGUUCAUUGCAGAAUAAGCCUCUGAGGAGGAGGAAGCUUGACAUACAUUUUUCUAUCCCAAAGGAGAAUCCGUCUGACAAAGAUUUAAACCAGGGGACUCUUGUUAUCUUUAACUUGGAUCCAUCAGUUUCUAAUGAAGAAGUUCGCCAGAUUUUCGGAACUUAUGGGGAAGUAAAGGAGAUAAGAGAGACGCCUAACAAAAAGCACCACAAGUUUAUUGAGUUCUACGAUGUUAGGGCGGCAGAAGCUGCUCUUCGGUCACUGAAUAAGAGCGAGAUCGCUGGAAAACGCAUCAAGUUGGAGCCAAGUCGUCCUGGUGGAACACGCAGAAGCUUGGUGCAACACCUUGGUCAUGAACUAGAAGAUGAAACCAGAGGUUAUAGGCAUUCUCCUCACGUUGGAUCGCCUAUGGCUAACUCUCCCCCAGGGGCGUGGGCUCAAUAUGGUAGUCCAACCGACAACAAUUUGCUGCAUGCAUUCAGCAAUUCACCUACUGGAAACGGAAUGAGCCCUAUCGGAAUGUCCCCUUCAAUGAUGUCAAAUGCUCUGAAGAUUGCACCAAUUGGGAAGGACAACAACUGGUCUAAAUACGAUCAAGUAUUCUCAAACAGCAACCAGUCCCUUGGCGCAGCGUUUCAGCAUUCACAGUCAUACCAAGAUCGCAAAAGUGAGCAUAUGAGCUCGAGUCCUGGGACUUUAACAGGGCCCGAGUUUCUGUGGGGCAGCCCAAAGCCUUAUCCAGAGCAUUCCCAAUCCUCAUCAAUGUGGCGUCCACCACCAGUUGGUCAUGCAAUGUCAUCCAGUAGCCGCCCUCAGGGUCAGGGCUUCCUGUAUGGUAGUCGCCAGGCUUCAUUGUUCGGAUCUUUGGAUCAAAACCGUCAUCAUGUUGGGUCUGCCCCUUCUGGCGCUCCAUUUGAGAGCCACUUUGGAUUUUUGCCUGAAUCGCCCGAGACGUCGUUUAUGAAUCAAGUUAGGUUUGCGAAUAUGGGGAACAUUGGCGGUGCUAACCGAAACGGGGGAAGCCUCAUGCUGAACAUGGCUUCUCGUGCUUCCCUGAAUCCUGUUUCUGCUCUAAGUGGAAGCCUGACAGAUAAUAACUCUACUAACUUCAGACCAAUACCAUCGCCAAGACUUGGGCAACCACCAUUCUUUGGGAACACCACAUAUCAAGGGCCUGGUUAUUAUGGACUUGACAGCUCCUCCAUUGAGCGUGGUCGCAACCGCCGAGUUGACAGCAGCGCGUUCCAGGCAGAUAGCAAGAAGCAGUAUCAGCUUGAUUUGGACAAGAUCCGUAAAGGAGAGGAUACUCGGACAACAUUGAUGAUUAAAAACAUUCCAAACAAGUACACAUCCAAGAUGCUUUUGGCUGCAAUCGAUGAGCUCCACAAAGGAACAUAUGACUUCUUCUACCUGCCAAUUGAUUUCAAGAACAAAUGCAAUGUCGGUUAUGCGUUCAUCAACAUGAUAUCCCCUGUGCACAUUGUAUCUUUCUACCAGGCUUUCAAUGGGAAGAAGUGGGAGAAAUUUAACAGCGAGAAAGUAGCAUCAUUGGCGUAUGGUAGGAUCCAGGGAAGGAAUGCACUAAUCUCACAUUUCCAGAAUUCAAGUUUGAUGAACGAGGACAAGAGAUGCCGCCCCAUUCUUUUUCAUUCCAACGGGCCAGAGACUGGAAAUCAGGAACCAUUUCCCAAUGGGAUAUGCAUCCACAUGCCUCUGGAUGGUGGGGCAGGCUCCAGCAAGGAGCCCCUCGGCUUUGAAGAGGACGACAAUCCCAGCGAGAUCAAGAUAUCCGGGGAGAAAUCCAUGGCGGGGAGUUUGUAG